CAUUAGGAUAGAGCAGGGUAGAAGUUUGACAGGAGCUCGAGCGGGAGAGGGGACGCUGGCUGGAGCCGGCAAUCCAUUUACUUCGAGAGAGAGAGAGAGAGAGAGAGGGAAAAAAAAGACAAAACAACGGAGGAAAGGAAAUUAAGUCGGAAACGAUCCUCCUUACAAACAGAAAACUAUCCAGGAUUCCUUUUCUGCUUUUUUUAAAAAUUCUGAGGGGUGUCGUUGUCAGGGGGAACCAUGUCUCGCAAAGCCGAGGAUAUCAACAGACUCACGGAGAACACCUAUAAGACUGUAAUGGAACAAUUUAAUCCAGGAUUACGGAAUCUUGUAAAUUUGGGCAAAAAUUAUGAGAAAGCUGUUAGUGCUAUGGUGGCUGCAGGAAAAACUUACUUUGACGGCAUUUCAAAAUUGGCAGAAUUGAGCUCUCAGUCACCAGUUUCCAAAGAGCUAGGU